CAGAGUUAUCCAACUCCCAAACCCAUGUGAACUUAUCUCCUUGUUGCCUCGGCGCAAGCUACCCGGGACCUCGCGCCCCGGGCGGCCCGCCGGCGGACAAACCAAAACUCUUGUUAUCUUAGUUGAUUAUCUGAGUGUCUUAUUUAAUAAGUCA
rnacentral:misc_RNA from 1 species